UGGGGAAUAUUGGACAAUGGGGGCAACCCUGAUCCAGCAAUGCCGCGUGUGUGAAGAAGGUCUUCGGAUUGUAAAGCACUUUCGACGGGGACGAUGAUGACGGUACCCGUAGAAGAAGCCCCGGCUAACUUCGUGCCAGCAGCCGCGGUAAUACGAAGGGGGCUAGCGUUGCUCGGAAUGACUGGGCGUAAAGGGCGUGUAGGCGGUUUACACAGUCAGAUGUGAAAUCCCCCGGGCUUAACCUGGGAGCUGCAUUUGAUACGUGUAGACUAGAGUGUGAGAGAGGGGUUUGUGG
rnacentral:rRNA from 1 species